rnacentral:tRNA from 3 species
GGCGGGGUAGCUCAGUUGGUUAGAGCGUUCGGUUCAUACCCGAGAGGUCGAGAGUUCAAAUCUCUCCCCCGCUACCA